ACGGUUAGAUUUGGCAUAUCAAAGAACCCCAAUAAUUCAAUUUUCGAUGAAAUCAAACAAAGUUUAAUUUUGGACCCUUUUGACCUCAAUAUGAACCAAUUUAAUAGCGGGGCCUACAAAUAAAAAAUCUAAAUACAUGGUUAGAUUCAGCAUAUCAAAGAACCUCAUAUAUCAAUUUUUGUUGAAAUUAAACAAAGUUUAAUUUUGGACCCCAAUUUGGACCAACUUGAAAACUGGGCCCAUAAUCAAAAAUCUAAAUACAUGUUUAGAUUCAGCAUAUCAAAGAACCCCAUAUAUUCAAUUUUUGUUGAAAUCAAACAAAGUUUAAAUACUGGACCCUAUCUUGGACCAACUUGAAAACUGGGCCCAUAAUCAAUAAAAUGCUUCGCUGGGGCGCAGCUUGAUACGACCGCAGAGGUCGAACCCUGAACAGUUGGGGCAAGUAUGGACACAACAUUCAAGCUUGAUACAGCUCUGAAUUUGGAUUGUUAUUAAAUAUUUGACACAGCAUAGGUUUCUGACACAGAAAGAAUGUGGUCUAAGAACUUGAAUUUUUUUAAUUUACCUAUUAUGGUCCAAUGUCCAAAAUCAAAAUACAUGGUUAGAUUCAGCAUAUCAAAGAACCCCAUAUAUUCAAUUUUUGUUGAAAUCAAACAAAGUUUAAUUUUGGACCCCAACUUAGACAAACUUGAAAACUGGGCCCAUAAUCAAAAAUCUAAACACAUGUCUAGAUUCAGCAUAUCAAAGAACCCCAAGAAUUCAAUUUUUGCUAAAAUCAAACUAAGUUUAAUUUUGGACCCUUUGGACCUUAAUGUAGACCAAUUUAAAAAACGGGACUUAAAAUUAAAAAUCUAAAUACACGGUUAGAUUUGGAAUAUCAAAGAACCCCAAUAAUUUAAUUUUUGAUGAAAUCAAACAAAGUUUAAUUUUGGACCCUUUUGACCUCAAUAUGAACCAAUUUGAUAGCGGGGCCCACAAAUAAAAAAAUCUAAAUUCAUGGUUAGAUUCAGCAUAUCAAAGAACCUCAUAUAUUCAAUUUUUGUUGAAAUCAAACAAAGUUUAAUUUUGAACCCCAAUUUGGACCAACUUGAAAACUGGGCCCAUAAUCAAAAAUCUAAAUACAUGUUUAGAUUCAGCAUAUCAAAGAACCCCAUAUAUUCAAUUUUUGUUGAAAUCAAACAAAGUUUAAAUACUGGACCCUAUCUUGGACCAACUUGAAAACUGGGCCCAUAAUCAAAAAUCUAAGCACAUGUUUAGAUUCAGCAUAUCAAAGAAACCCCAAGAAUUCAAUUUUUGUUAAAAUCAAACUAAGUUUAAUUUUGGACCCUUUGGACCUUAAUGUAGACCAAUUUAAAAAACAGGACCCAAAAUUAAAAAUCUAAAUACACGGUUAGAUUUGGUAUAUCAAAGAACCCCAAUAAUUCAAUUUUAGAUGAAAUCAAACAAAGUUUAAUUUUGGACCCUUUUGACCUCAAUAUGAACCAAUUUGAUAACGGGGUCCACAAAUAAAAAAUCUAUUUACAUGGUUAGAUUCAGCAUACCAAAGAACCCCAUAUAUUCAAUUUUUGUUGAAUUCAAACAAAGUUUAAUUUUGGACCCCAAUUUGGACCAACUUGAAAACUGGGCCAAAAAUCAAAAAUCUAAAUACAUGUUUAGAUUCAGCAUAUCAAAGAACCUCAUAUAUUCAAUUUUUGCUAAAAUCAAACAAAGUUUAAUUUUGGACCCUUUGGACCUUAAUGUAGACCAAUUUGAAAACUGAACCCAAAAUUAAAAAUCUAAAUACACUGUUAGAUUCGGCAUAACAAAUAAAUAAAUGUGAUCAAAGAUUUUACAAAUCUAAUGCGCCAUACUGUGCAAUUAAAGAUUACUUCUUGAAAUUUUUCAAUAUUUGAAAUUUAAGAAAAAAAAAAUAUUUGAAGAAUAAUUCUUUUUAAUUUCUGAAAUCUGAAAUGAGAAAAAAUUGACCCCCCACAAUUUCUUUUUAUCCCCCCCCCCUUUUUUCCCCAAAAAAAUUCUUUCCCUCAAGAUAUGGUCAUAAUCUCAAUUCAAAUUUCCAAUGGAGUUUGCAACCAUAAUUACCCAUUUAAAUUUACCAUAGUGCUAACUUAAUCUAUUUUAUAAUAGAAUUAAAAAUAUAGUGUCAAAUCUUUCAUAUGGAUUUUUUUGUAAAAAAAAAAGAUGCAACAUUUGCAGAUAUUUUUACUGGUCUUCCUUUAUAAAUAUGCAUUUCUUUAAACAUAAUUUAAAAGCAGUGUAAGGGAAGUAACCAAAACGUUGUAUUUGGAUUACCUCCCUUACACUGUUUUAAAUUAUCUUUAUUGUUCAUUAAUCAUUACUUUAUACAUAAUUUAAAAGCAGUGUAAGGGAGAUAAUUUCAAUGAUGUAUUUGAUUUAUCUCCCUUACACUGCUUUAAAUUAUGUUUUGUACUAAAGUAUU